GGCUUUGUAGCUCAGCUGGUGGAGUGUGCACUGUACAAAAGCAUGGGCGGCGUCCGUGCGUGGGUUCGAAUCCCACCGAGGUUA
rnacentral:tRNA from 1 species